AUCGCUUCUCGGCCUUUUGGCUAAGAUCAAGUGUAGAAGUUGAACUUUAAAGAACUUUCAAAGCUCUUUAAGCUUUAAAGUUCUUUUUGAUAGAUUUGCAUUGUUUGCUUAACUAUCUAUAAUGUUUGAGAUUUAUAUAAGUUCCAGGUGAACCAAU
rnacentral:snRNA from 1 species